GACGAACGCUGGCGGCGUGCUUAACACAUGCAAGUCGUACGGUAAGGCCCUUUCGGGGGUACACGAGUGGCGAACGGGGGAGUAACACGUGAGUAACCUGCCCACAACUUUGGGAUAACGCUAGGAAACUGGUGCUAAUACUGGAUAUGUGCUCCUGCUGCAUGGUGGGGGUUGGAAAGCUCCGGCGGUUGUGGAUGGACUCGCGGCCUAUCAGCUUGUUGGUGGGGUAGUGGCCUACCAAGGCGGCGACGGGUAGCCGGCCUGAGAGGGUGACCGGCCACAGUGGGACUGAGAUACGGCCCAGACUCCUACGGGAGGCAGCAGGGGGGAAUAUUGCACAAUGGGCGCAAGCCUGAUGCAGCAACGCCGCGUGCGGGAUGACGGCCUUCGGGUUGUAAACCGCUUUCAGCAGGGACGAAGCUUUUUGUGACGGUACCUGCAGAAGAAGCACCGGCUAACUACGUG
rnacentral:rRNA from 1 species